rnacentral:rRNA from 1 species
UACGUAGGGAGCGAGCGUUGUCCGGAUUCAUUGGGCGUAAAGAGCUCGUAGGCGGCUUGGUAAGUCGGAUGUGAAACCUCCAGGCUCAACCUGGAGUCGCCAUCCGAUACUGCCAUGGCUAGAGUCCGGUAGGGGCCCACGGAAUUCCUGGUGUAGCGGUGAAAUGCGCAGAUAUCGGGAGGAACACCUGUGGCGAAAGCGGCUCACUGGACCAUUACUGACGCUGAUGCACGAAAGCUAGGGGAGCAAACAGG